GACCAGUUGUCAGGAUGUGGAGAACACAGCUGAACGCUGGCAGCUGCUGGACAGCCUAAGGCUCUAGUGGGGGAUUUAGGCAAACCUCUGUCUGACUCAGGGGUUGAGCUAUGAGGCUCUAGAAAACAAAUGAACUCAAGAGACAUCCCAAGUACUAAGCCCCACCCCUGCCCUGUGGCAGCCAGAUGCUGACUAAAACCCUGCCAUUGCUGACAGAGGUGGAUUUCCUGCACUCACCCUCCCUGCUGUGGAGUCCGUGCCACCGCCUUCGACGCCGGCACACACCAUGGUGGGCAACACUCGACCCGGGUAGUCCUUGUUGCAAGAUGCUUCAGAGAUAAUGCUGAUGUUGGCACAAUGCAACGUAUCAGGGAGUCUCACUGAGGAGGACAGAUGGCUUUGAGUAUAUUUAAUUCCUUUGGUUCUUGUUCCCUCCAUUCAAGAACCCCUGGGGACAACAUUGCUGGAAUUUCUAUCUCCAGUUCCAUCCUUCCACUCACCGUGUGACUUCUGGCUCCCUGUGGCUCCAGGGUUGUUGUCUGAUAACAGACCCCAGCCUGACACCACGCAGUCCUCACCGAUAAGAGGGCAACGUCUGGGCAGCGCCACAGGACGCACGUAGGCUGUCAGCCGGGCAGGUUUGAAAAGUCGCAACAGCAUAAUGUCAUGGCGGUGGGUGCGAGCCUCGUAGCCCGGAUGUGGAAUGAUGCGAGAGACGGAGCGCAGUUGCUCUGGACCAUCGAACUUGCGGAGAUUGUGCUCACCCAGGCGCACUCUCAUGAAGCUGUGUGAUCGAGUAGGAGGAGACAAAGUGGUCAGAGAAGAUAACCUGGGAUCUUCGGAGAACUUUCUCCUUUUCUCAAGUCCUUGAAGCCAGUGGUUCCAACCGUGACCUCUCCAGAGCCCAGGAGUUUCACGGGGUGUGAUGGUUCAUGCCUUUAACCCCAACACUUGGGAGGCAGAGGCAGGGGGAUUUCUCUAAGUUGUGGACCAGCUUGGUCUACACGGUGAGUUCUAGAGCAAACUGGGUUGCACAGUCAAAACAAACAAAAAACAAACUAACAAACU
ensembl:antisense